rnacentral:rRNA from 1 species
UUAUUGCAAUUAUUAAUCUUCAACGAGGAAUGCCUAGUAAGCGCAAGUCAUCAGCUU